rnacentral:rRNA from 1 species
UUACCCAAUUCUGACACGGAGAGGUAGUGACAAGAAAUAACGAUACAGGGCAUUCAUGUCUUGUACUUGGGCUGAGUAGAAUGUAAACGACUCUAUGAGUAUCAAUUGGAGGGCAAGUCUGGUGCCAGCAGCCGCGGUAACUCCAGCUCCAAUAGCGUAUAUUGAAGUUGUUGCGGUUAAAAAGCUCGUCGUUGGAUUUCUGUUGAGGUCGAACAGUGCCGCCCUAUGGGUGCGCAACUGGCUCGGCUUCGGCAUCUUCUUGGAGAGCGUAUCUGCACUUAACUGUGUGGAUCGUACUUCAAGUCAGUUACUUUGAGGAAUUGUGAGUGUUUCAAGCAGGCUUACGCCGUUGAAUCCGUUAGCAUGGAAUAAUAGAAUAGGACCUCGGUUCUAUUUUGUUGGUUUUGAGAGCUGGGGCAGCGAUCGAUAGGGACGGAUGGGGGCGUCCGAACUUUACUGUCAGGGGUGAAAUUCUUAGAUCGGUCAAAGGCGAACUACUGCGAACGCAUUCGCCAAGAAUGUUUUCUUUAAUCAAGAACGAAAGUUAGGGGAUCGAAGACGAUCAGAUACCGUCCUAGUCUUAACCAUAAACGUUACUGACUAGAGAUUGGAGGUUGUGAUUCACAAACUCCAUCAGCACCUCUAUGUGUAAACAGAGUCUUUGAGUUCUGGGGGGAGUAUGGUCGCAAGACUGAAACUUAAAGGAAUUGACGGAAGGGCACCACCAGGAGUGGAACCUGCGGCUUAAUUUGACUCAACACGGGGAAACUUACCAGAUCAAGACAUAGUAAGGAUUGACAGAUUGAGAGUU